GUCCACGAAAGGAAACCAUGGCUAUGAAUUUCAGGGCAUCGAGACCCUGUCAACACAGCUAAUCCCUACGGAUGUUGGCUGAAUAAGCCUUUGGUGACCAAACAGUGCACUGUGGAAACCGUGUCAGCCUCCAGCAGGUCAAUUUGUCCUCAUAUUACACACUCUGCUGGCUCUGUUGCUAGAACCCCAGAUCGAGGAUCCACGGCGAGCAUCUCCCAACUUGACAUGGGUUGACACAGCAUGGUUAAUAAGUCAACAGAAUUCAGAAAACAGGACCGGAUUAAGAAGGCAGUUUUAUUUUGGUGCCCUGGACUUCAAGCAGAUUAAAUAAUCAAAAAGCCGGAGCCAUCGGGGUCAUGUUUGAAUGCUACAGCUGUUCACUGAGGUUUGACAAACAUUCUUUCUGUGGCCCCUCGUCUCAAUGGGAAAGGCAGCGAUGAUCCUGGGAAGGGCAAGGCUUUAAGAAAGAAGGAAGGAGCACAAUCAAAAGAUCCUCUUACGGAAAACAAUCCAGAUGGAGACAGGGAAAGGGCUGCUUAAAUAAGUGGUCUCCCGAAAGCGACAACUGUUCCCUGUGCUGAAGAAAAGCACUGGCAGGAUUCAGAAAAAAAGUGAAUGAAAACCUGGACUUGGAGUCUGCCAUGGCCUCGAUGUGUUGAUCUGCAGAUUAAUAAAGGUGGGCUUCGGGUUCA
rnacentral:lncRNA from 1 species